rnacentral:rRNA from 1 species
UACGUAGGGUGCAAGCGUUAAUCGGAAUUACUGGGCGUAAAGCGUGCGCAGGCGGCUUUGCAAGACAGAUGUGAAAUCCCCGGGCUCAACCUGGGAACUGCAUUUGUGACUGCAUGGCUGGAGUGCGGCAGAGGGGGAUGGAAUUCCGCGUGUAGCAGUGAAAUGCGUAGAUAUGCGGAGGAACACCGAUGGCGAAGGCAAUCCCCUGGGCCUGCACUGACGCUCAUGCACGAAAGCGUGGGGAGCAAACAGGAUUAGAUACCCUGGUAGUCCACGCCCUAAACGAUGUCAACUGGUUGUUGGACGGCUUGCUGUUCAGUAACGAAGCUAACGCGUGAAGUUGACCGCCUGGGGAGUACGGCCGCAAGGUUG